ACCAACUAUCUCACGCCCUCUCUCUCUCAAACCCAGCCAAAGGAGCACAUCUAGUUGAAAGACUCUCAUUCUUAUUUAGAAUGGGAAGAUCUUUCAGUUCGUAAAAGCUUAAGCUUAAGAGCUUUAUCCAUAAGUAAUGAGAGGAGACUUUUAGAAAAACCUCAUGCCUUCUCUGGAGACAGAGAUCUUACUGCUACCUCCGAGUCUGACAAUCUAGUCUUCUAGGCUUUUCGCUUUU
rnacentral:lncRNA from 1 species